UGGGGAGGGGGGGAGUUGAACCCCCAUAAAUAAGUUUACAGCUUACCGCCUGGCUCGGCCACCUAACC
rnacentral:tRNA from 1 species